rnacentral:ncRNA from 1 species
AGAUAGAGGUGCGGGCUUCAUCAGUAUCGCCUGACUACAGACCGGAACAGGUUGUGUGAGAAAGGGGAGACCGCCGAAGAAAUCAGAAGCAUCCGGAGCGGAAGAUUUCUGGGCUGCAGUACAAUAUACUGCAGACUGUCACAUCAGUGGAGCGCUAUCAGG